UACGGGAGGCAGCAGUGGGGAAUAUUGCACAAUGGGCGCAAGCCUGAUGCAGCCAUGCCGCGUGUAUGAAGAAGGCCUUCGGGUUGUAAAGUACUUUCAGUCGUGAGGAAGGUGUUAAGGUUAAUAACCUUAGCAAUUGACGUUAGCGACAGAAGAAGCACCGGCUAACUCCGUGCCAGCAGCCGCGGUAAUACGGAGGGUGCGAGCGUUAAUCGGAAUUACUGGGCGUAAAGGGCACGCAGGCGGUUAAUUAAGUUGGAUGUGAAAUCCCCGGGCUUAACCUGGGAAUGGCAUUCAAGCUGGUUAGCUAGAGUCUUGUAGAGGGGGUUAGAAUUCCAUGUGUAGCGGUGAAAUGCGUAGAGAUGUGGAGGAAUACCGGUGGCGAAGGCGGCCCCUGGACAAAGGCUGACGCUCAUGUGCGAAAGCGUGGGGAGCAAACG
rnacentral:rRNA from 1 species